rnacentral:rRNA from 1 species
GUGCCAGCCGCCGCGGUAAGACAGAGGGUGCAAACGUUGUUCGGAAUUAUUGGGCGUAAAGAGCUCGUAGGCGGUUUGUCGCGUCUGCUGUGAAAACUCGGGGCUUAACCCCGGGCCUGCAGUGGGUACGGGCAGACUAGAGUGCGGUAGGGGAGACUGGAAUUCCUGGUGUAGCGGUGAAAUGCGCAGAUAUCAGGAGGAACACCGGUGGCGAAGGCGGGUCUCUGGGCCGUAACUGACGCUGAGACGCGAAAGCGUGGGUAGCAAACAGGAUUAGAUACCCUGGUAGUCCACGCCCUAAACGAUGCAUAUUUGGUGUGUGCAGUUCAUUCUGUCCGUGCCGGAGCUAACGCGUUAAAUAUGCCGCCUGGGGAGUACGGUCGCAAGAUUAAAACUCAAAGGAGUUGACGG